rnacentral:rRNA from 2 species
GCAUAUCAAUAAGCGGGGGGG